rnacentral:rRNA from 1 species
CAGCCGCCGCGGGAAUACGAAGGGUGCAAGCGUUAAUCGGAAUUACUGGGCGUAAAGCGUGCGUAGGUGGUGGUUUAAGUCCGUUGUGAAAGCCCUGGGCUCAACCUGGGAAUUGCAGUGGAUACUGGGUCACUAGAGUGUGGUAGAGGAUAGUGGAAUUUCCGGUGUAGCAGUGAAAUGCGUAGAGAUCGGAAGGAACAUCUGUGGCGAAGGCGACUAUCUGGGCCAACACUGACACUGAGGCACGAAAGCGUGGGGAGCAAACAGGAUUAGAUACCCCCGUAGUCCCUGUCUCUUAUAC